CCAAUAGCGUAUAUUAAAGUUGCUGCAGUUAAAAAGCUCGUAGUUGAAUUUCGGGACCAAUAUGUCGGUCGUGCUUCGGUACGUACUGUCAUAAUUGGUUUCUCCCUUCUGAAGAACCUUGAUGUCAUUAAUUUGGUGUCUUGGGGAAUCAGGACUGUUACUUUGAAAAAUUAGAGUGUUUAAAGCAGGCUCGCGCUUGAAUACAUUAGCAUGGAAUAAUGAAAUAGGACGUUUGAUUCUAUUUUGUUGGUUUCUAGGAUCGACGUAAUGAUUAAUAGGGAUAGUUGGGGGCAUUAGUAUUCAAUUGUCAGAGGUGAAAUUCUUGGAUUUAUUGAAGACUAACUACUGCGAAAGCAUUUGCCAAGGAUGUUUUCAUUAAUCAAGAACGAAAGUUAGGGGAUCGAAGACGAUCAGAUACCGUCGUAGUCUUAACCAUAAACUAUGCCGACUAGGGAUCGGAUGAUGUUAAUUUUUAAUGACUCAUUCGGCGCCUUACGGGAAA
rnacentral:rRNA from 1 species